UACGGGCAUAUCACGUUGAAACACCGGUUCUCCUACGAUCACCAAAGUUAAGCAACGUCGAGCCUUAUCAAUAAUUAGAUGGGUGACUGCUGGGAGUAGCACAUGCUAU